UGGGACAUGCUUAUCAGCAGUGGGGAAAAAGAUCCCAGAUUGUUCACUUUUUCAAAAACUGAUCGGAGAGAAAUUCACUCAGGUUCCUGUGGAUCCCUGUAGAAAGAAUCUGCUGAGAAUAGCGAACAGUCCCAGAGAAGAGGCCACUACCCCGCAGACAAGGGAAUGAAAUCGCAAGAAGGUGCAGGAACAUAGCUGCUUGCUGGGUCUCCUGGCUGUCCCCAGAGAGGUGACAGAAUCCUUGAGUACUGUAAUAGUCAGCCACCAGGUUCCAGAUGCUACCUUGAUGUCAACCAGACUUCUCUGAGCAGACAACCUACCAGUGUAUCCUGGAGCCCCACUUCCCCAGAGCCCUUCCCCACUAGGGAAAGAGAGGCAGGCUGGGAGUAUGGAUUGACCUGCCAAUGCCCGUGUUCAGCGGGGAAGCAAUUACAGAAG